rnacentral:rRNA from 1 species
AACACGUGGACAACCUACCCUCAGGUCGGGGAUAAACCCGGGAAACUGGGUAUAAUACCCGAUAGUGCUCGACUACUGGAAUGCAUCGAGUACUAAAGCUCCGGCGCCUAAGGAUGGGUCUGCGGCCUMUCAGGUAGUAGUGGGUGUAGCGUACCUACUAGCCUACGACGGGUACGGGUUGUGAGAGCAAGAGCCCGGAGAUGGAUUCUGAGACACGAAUCCAGGCCCUACGGGGUGCAGCAGGCGCGAAAACUUUCAAUGCUGGAAACAGCGAUAAGGGGACCUCGAGUGCCAGGUUACAAAUCUGGCUGUCGUGAUGCCUAAAAAGCAUUGCAUAGCAAGGGCCGGGCAAGACCGGUGCCAGCCGCCGCGGUAACACCGGCGGCUCGAGUGGUAACCGUUAUUAUUGGGUCUAAAGGGUCUGUAGCCGGCCGGAUAAGUCUCUUGGGAAAUCUGGCAGCUUAACUGUCAGGCUUUCAGGGGAUACUGUUGGCUCGAGGCCGGGAGAGGUGAGAGGUACUUCGGGGGUAGGGGUGAAAUCUUGUAAUCCUUGAAGGGCCACCAGUGGCGAAGGCGUCUCACCAGAACGGCCUGACGGCAAGGGACGAAAGCUAGGGGCACGAACCGGAUUAGAUACCCGGGUAGUCCUAGCCGUAAACGAUACUCGCUAGGUGUCGGCCAUCGGUGCGACCGUUGUCGGUGCCGUA